GUCCCUUUGGAGACAUCUGUUAAGGUUAGAACGAUACAAAGAAUAUUGAUAGAUUAGCAUGGACCCUGUGCACGCACAAUUCGAGAAAAGGUCCAAAUUUAU